UUUCUUCAGGGCAGGGUGCAAUUCCCGACCGGCGGUACAGUCCGCGAGCCUUUGUGGCAGAUCCGGUGUGAUUCCGGAACCGACAGUAAAGUCUGGAUGGGAGAAGAA
rnacentral:ncRNA from 1 species